UCUUUUUCUUCUUUUAAUUUUGUUCAGCAUUAAAGGAGGAAACUUCAUAAACAUUGAUUGUCAUUUACAGAAAACAUUCAGAAAUCAUGUGUGCAUUAUCCGGGAAUGCUAACAGUAUUGAACUAAUAAUUUACAGGACAUAAAAUAAGGACAAAAACCUAUUACAUUCUAAAGUAAUAUAAAACUCUUUUUUAAUUGUUAGGGAGUGCUGUUUUAUUCUAGUAUAUUUAUGAUUAAAAAAACUCAAUACUUACUUCCUAAAUGACUCAGGCUGCAGUUUUACUCACAUACACAGAAAUUAGGGCUUAUAUAUUAAACAAGGAGAGAGAGAUCAGAAAAUUGUAGAUUUUAAAACUAUAUAUGUCACUGGGUUUAUUUGUGGUUUGCCUUUUUCCUCUACAGGCCAAUAAGAAUACAUGGUAAUAAUGUAAUUAAACUCCAGAAAAAUCAAUGGUGACUAUAAGAGACAUUAUUCUUUUAAAAAAGUAGAAUUAUUAUUCUUUUUAGAGUGAAUAUUUUUAUUUUACAAGCGUAGGCUGGAGCUAAGGUAAAAACAUUAAAUCUCUGAAUGUUGGAAGUAUAUGAAAAUCAUUUCUCUCAAUCCUAAAAGCAAGGAAGCAUUGUUAGGGAUUUCAAAAAUAUUGGAAUGUCUCAUUUAAAUCUAAAUAUCUUUUUAUCAUUAUAAAUCGAUCAUCAUAAAAUACUAGCCUUUUAAAGUCAUAUUUGGGAUGCAGGAAAAGCAUCAGUUUCAACAACUUGCUCCUGCCUGUGUUGCUAUAGCUCAUGACACCUUGGAUUUUCCUCCCUCUCAGUCUCUCCCCAACCCUCCCCUAGGUUCUUUACAACAUUUAUUUGGUGAAGGUCAGUUAUGGCUUCAGCAAAUGAGUGGUCUGACCUCAGGUUAUUAACAAGAAAUAAAUGUGUACAAAAAUAUCUUGUUCAUCAGAAAGCGGAGUUUGUUUUCCUUAAGCUAUUCCAUGCAGAAAGGAUUUGGACAAAGCCAUUUGCUACAAGGAAAGAUGACUUAACUCAGGCAACUUUUUUUUUUAAUUUUCCUUUUUCGUAUUUUCUAGUUAUAGAUGGAGUUUGCAGGUCUUAGGCCAAUCUUCAAUACAAAUUCUUUGGAGCAGAUUUAAUUGACAGCCCUGUCCCUUUCUCAGUCAUAUUACAAAAAGAAGCAUACACUUAACACCAAUGACCCGUCAAGAUGCUUAAACUGUUACAACCAGUUUCCAUUAAAAAACUGAGAAGUACAUAACACGCAGAAAGGAAGCAAGUACAUAUUUGCUCUUUGUUGAUUUUCCCCCUCUAAAAAAAUUGUUACAAAGUCUUAUGCUUAAACAGAGACAUAGAAAAAUCAGUGUACUCACCGUCUCCAGUUAUUUACAGCAAAAAUUACAGAGACAGCAUACAUUGUAUUAGACCUUCCACAAGCAUAUAUUAAAAGUAAUUACAUUUGAAAAAAUAUUUUUAUUUUUCCUCUACAUUUCUACAAUACAUACUCAGUUUUCUGUGGGUGUAAUUUUUCUUUCUUGUGUGUGUGUUAAUCAGAUGAAGCAGACGGUACUGUGCUUGGAUGUGGGAUUUGUAGCUUUCCAGACAUACCUAAUGUGUUUCUACGUAUGGUUGUGACAGAGGCACGCGAAUGCUUGCCACCAACUACUGCCAGAAGAGUAUAGUUGAAUACAAGGAUCAUGCUGCCCAGCUGGGGUGCAGAUGCCCCGUGCUGCCCUGAACAGGGCUCAUUCAAUUCCGGUAACCCUUGUGCUUUAUUUUUGGCCAUGAGAACAAUCACUGAGCUGCUUUCUCUGAUCCACUGGAGGCCAUGCUUACAGUCACGCAGGAGGCAAAGAUUACUAUGGCCCAUUCACAUCGGAGGAAUUUCAGCAGCUUAGGAAAAAAGUGCACAAACAGACAACCCCCAUCUGCUGCAUAGGAAUCCAUGGUCUGCACUUCCAAACAAUGGAGGACUACAUGAUCACGACUAUAGAAUAAAUUCUUCACAUACAACUAAGGGAAAAUAAAAACUUGUCACAGAUAUUGAAGUCACACAGUUCAAGAAACACACUGAGACCCAAAAGAAUAAAAGUCAUGCAUUUGCCUUUCAGAAAAAAAGUGGCAAGAAAUCCAGCCCCCUGGCUCUAUGAAGAAGGGAGUUUGGGCAAGACAAGUUGGAGUGUCUUUUAUAAGCCAUCACUAAAUUGAAUAGUUUUCAUUUUUAGACUGUUUGCUAUUUUUUAAACUGACCUCCUGUUAUAUCCUCUAGUUGUGACAAUCAAAUACCAAAACAAAAUUGAGUAUUAGAAGGGGAAGAUCUCCAUCCCCUCCUUCCAAAACUAAUAUCAUUCUAAUAUCGUCCAGGGUUGAAUCUGACCAGACUUGCUUUCGAAUUUUCAACCCCUGCUUUAAAUGGUAAACUACCCUCUACCCUGUACCCUCUGGUCCUGAGACCCAAAAAUGAAUAGAGUGUCAGCUUUUUUUUGAAAGACCCCCCAUAGUUUCCCACAUCAGGCCUUUACUCUAGUUGCUGCUUAUACUGACAGUUGGAAACAGAACAUCAAAUAACACUUCGUCUAAAGCAGAUGGUAGGCUUUCCUCUCUUCUUUAUGCAGGGGACUUUGUGCAGAGUUUCACUACAGAUGCACACUUUAAGGUUAUUGCUGUUCUAUUGAACGGUGCUUCUGUUAGGGCACAGACGUCCAUGGCCUGAAUUGACUGCAAAUUGUAGCAGCUUCCUUGGAAAUAAAAGUUUAUAGAAAAAAAAAGAGUCAGGAAGAAAUUAUUUCUUCUAAUUUCCAAUAGAAAUAGAAUUUUUCCUUGCUUCUAUAAUGAACAGAAACAAAGAACAUAGAACAACACUGCCAUUAUUUGCAUCUGAUUGUUGUUUUUGAAAAAAGCUGGUAAGUUUUAGGUUGUCCUUGGGACCCAAGAAUUGUUUUUGCCUUCAAGCCUCGUACACAUUGCAUUGUAGAGAGUGAGCAUGAGUUGAUCUUCAUGGUUUUCUACAAACAGUUUAGCUUGACUGCUCUGAGAUUAUGCUUUGAACAAGGCAGCUAUGAUAGGAAAUGUACUGACACCUCCCUGGCACCUCUUGUUAAUAUUCAGAGUUUAUUAUGAUUUAAGAUCUCUUGGAAUCUACCAAAGAAAUCUAAUCACUCAGGAGAUCGUUAUAUUCUCUGAUUUUACCUACUCAGAGGUACUUUAGUCCAGAGCCCUGAACACAGUGCUAAAACAAGGGAAAUUCAGAAAGGGUAUGUUUGUGGAGAACAUCUCCACCUUCAGCUUUCAGUCUUUGGGGGAUAAAAGAGCCACUGAAGGCAGGGCGCAGUGGCUCAGGCCUGUAAUCCUUGCACUUUGGGAGGCCAAGGCGGGUGGAUCACUUGAGGUCAGGAGUUCAGGACCAGCCUGGCCAACAUGGUGAAACCCCAUCUCUACCUAAAAUACAAAAAUUAGCCGGGUGUGGGGGCGUGUGCCUGUAAUCCCAGCUACUCAGGAGGCUGAAGCAGGAGAAUCGCUUGAACCCAGGAGGCAGAGAUUGCAGCGAGCCAAGAUCUCAUGCCACUGCACUCCAGCCUGAGCAACAUGUUGAACAAGAUCUGUCUCAAAACAAAAAAGGAGCCACAGAAAAAGGGGCAAAGAGAUUAGUUGAGUCAUGGACAGUACGGGCAUAUACGGGUGUCAAACCAGAUUUGGAAUCCUUUCCUGUCCUAUUUUCCCUCCAAAAUUUCCCUUUCUUUUUAUGGACCACAAAUACACUGAAGUUUGAAUUCACCCGGUUUCACCUCCCUUGUCCAUUUUAUCUAAUGCCAGUUAGAUUUCUGUAUUUUCCUUGUUCAGGAUUUGUAUAGAAAGUUUGGAUUUGCAGGGAGAUAAAAAUUCCUCUGAAUGGGACAGCUAGAUUAUUUGGCUCUUAGCAGAGUUUAGAAAAUGAGACCAAGUUGUCCUUACUUGGGUGCAACUUUUCAGCAAGUCCAAAUAAGUCAAUCUAGUUUAUGACAUGAAGUUACUGCUUGUUGGUCUGAAAGCCUUGUCAGAGAGGUGCUCUCAGCAACAUAUUUAAUUUAUACCAUUCACAUUUUGUUGUCAUUUUCCUGUUUUUAAUUUUUUCCUCCUUCUUGAUGUAUUUUUUUUUUUUAAGGAAACAUCCCUGAGUGGAUACAGUGCAACAUCUGCAUCAAGCAGUGAUUGUCAUUUAUGAAGCACGAAGUGAGAAGCCCAGAUUGUGGAUUUUUUCUUCCAGUGCACACUUGAUCAUGAUUGUUGUGAACAUUUGUUAGUCCUCAUGGGGAAGGAACCAAGUUCUGGGAUUGUAGGUACAAAAUACCUUGACAUGCAGUCAUAGGAGAUCUUCGAAGGGCAGCUUUUUAAGGCUUUUUACCAUUGAAAACAUGACUGGAUUCUCUUUAAAGGGAAGGUUGGGCAACUGUAACCCAAACUAGAAAUCUCUUCUCUCAACUAAGUGGGAUGAGUAUGUCCUGGUUGCCAUUGUUUUGCUCUGGUUCAGAUGCUAGCUCUGUUUCCUUCCUCCCAGCUUCAAAAGGUCCAUGCCGUCCCAGUGAAAUGCUUAACGCUAGUGGAAACAACACAAAUUCAAAGCAGUACCUCCCAAGGUAAAUGUGGGGAACAAUCUUUUUCCUAUAUCACCCAUGGGAAAAGGGAGGAAAAAAUUCUGAGCCACUUCAUCAAUUGAGCCAAUUUAAAUCCUCUAAGGUAAAUUGGAGGAAAUAAAUAAUUCCCUCUGCAACUGAGCAGGAAUUACAGGCUGACAAUGGAAAACACUAGGCCAACAGAACAAUGAAAACAAAGUUUGACAUAAGUUCAAAGCUCAAAGGGAAACACCAAGUAGACACAUGAAGCAUCGCCUAUCACAAGCCAAUCAUAAAACAUACAUUGCAUUUGGAAACGGCUUGGUUUAAUUGAGUGCCUUCCAUUACCCUGUUUUCCUAGCAAUCAGUAGAGUAAUCUUUCCAUUAGAAGGAAAUAUGACUCUGGGAAUUAAUUCUUUAUACAAAGAGCUAGCAGGAGUGACAUUUACACCAAAAAGAAUUGAGUCCCUGUAGCAGCAUAAUAAGCAGUCUACAGCUGUCUUCUUAGAACCAAAGGUAAUUUGGUUCAAUGUAGUUAAAUUAAUUGAAUAUAACAGUAGUUGAGAAACAGAUUCAUUAUUUUAAAGCCUUUUUGUUUUUCCCCAUUGGUUUAGAAUUCAUCAAUCAUGAGGUGAGAAAAUGUUCCGUUUUCUAAAAGGAAAAGAUGACACUACUGUUUUGAUCAUCAAUCAAGAGUUCUGUGGUAUCUUGGAGAUGGUGCUCAACCAUGAACUUCAGGAGAGCAUAAGAGAUUAAAAAAAGAAAUCAAAGUUUCCACUGAUGGAAACUUUACAAAGCAGGGGUUUGUAUGUGUGUGUGUGUAAGUGUGUGUGUGUUUAAUAUGGAGAAAAGGGCAGUUCUUUAGGAGUUGGUGGCUGGGAUAUACUUACAGGAGACCAUAAUUUUCAUUGUCUUAUACACAAACUUCUCUCUUAGCUUGUUUUCUUUUUUUUAAGUUUUAUUUUGUAUCAGAAAAUAACAGAGGUAUAGGCCUCCAGGACACAGGCAGAACAAAUUUCUU
rnacentral:lncRNA from 1 species